GACGAACGCUGGCGGCGUGCCUAAUACAUGCAAGUCGAACGCAGUGGGGACGGGUGAGUAACACGUGGGUAACCUCCCAUCAGAGGGGAUAACACUUGGAAACAGGUGCUAAACCGAUACUGAUGGAUGGAACCGCGGUGCAUUCGCUAGUUGGUGGGUUAACGGCUCACCAAGGCCACGAUGCAUAGCGGGCCUGAGAUGGUGCUCAGCCACACUGGGACGGAGACACGGCCCAGAGUCCUACGGGAGGCAGCAGUGGGGAAAAUUCGGCAAUGGACAAAAGGCGGGCCAAUCAACGCCGCGUGAGUGAAAAAGGUUUUCGGAUCGUAAAACUCUGUUGGUAGAGAAGCGGUAUCUAACCAGAAAGCCACGGCGAACUACGUGCCAGCAGCCGCGGUAAUUC
rnacentral:rRNA from 1 species